ACCGCUCGGUUGUAAACGGACAGAGCUCGCGAAUCCCCGCCGGGCGAAUUCACGGUCGGUCUAACCGCCGGCCGGAUCUUUCGCUCGGUUAGCGGACGUCGCGACCCGUUGGGCGCCGGCCGAAUGGCCCGGGUGACGUUCGUCGCGUCGGUCGCGUUUCGGCGUGACCGUUCGCGCCGAGCCCCGGUGCUCAUGGUCGGCUCGCCCGACGGCAAGAACCGUCGACGCGGCCCCGUCGCAGGCGGGGUCCCGUCGGUCGGCGACGUGUUUCGAGCUACUUUCCGACCCGUCUUGAAACACGGACCAAGGAGUCUAACGUGUGCGCGAGUCAACGGUGAUCUUACGAAAAACCACGUUUGGCGCAAUGAAAGUGAACCGUUUACGGUGCGGACGAUGGCCUAGCGACCGAACCCACCGGCGUUCAAAGUCGCGCUGGUCCGCAGUCCGGGGGCGUCUCCGCCAAGUCGGCUUCGGCCGGCUGGGGGCGCACCCUUAGCGCACACGUUGGUACCCGAAAGAUGGUGAACUAUGCCUGGCCAGGAUGAAGUCAGGGGAAACCCUGAUGGAGGUCCGCAGCGAUUCUGACGUGCAAAUCGAUCGUCUGAGCUGGGUAUAGGGGCGAAAGACUAAUCGAACCCAUCUAGUAGCUGGUUCCAUCCGAAGUUUCCCUCAGGAUAGCUGGCGCCGAUGUGUCCCGCCCGUUCGCGGGCGUACGGACGCCGGUGGGACUCCGCGCUGUACGGCGCGGUAACAACACGCUCGUAACACGGAGGAUGUCUCAUACGGUAAAGCGAAUGAUUAGAGGACAUUGGGGCCGAAACGACCUCAACCUAUUCUCAAACUAUAAAUGAGUGAGAUCGCCGGCUUUACCUGGUACACCGCGUGAACCGCGUGCGAAGCCGGCGACGGAACCCUAGGCGCUUAGUGGGCCAUUUUUGGUAAGCAGAACUGGCGCUGCGGGAUGAACCGAACGCCGAGUUAAGGCGCCGAAAUCGACGCGUAUUCAGAGACCAUGAAAGGCGUUGGUUGCUGAUGACAGCAGGACGGUGGCCAUGGAAGUCGGAAUCCGCUAAGGAGUGUGUAACAACUCACCUGCCGAAGCAACUAGCUCUGAAAAUGGAUGGCGCUGGAGCGUCGUGCCUAUACUCGGCCGUCGACGGCAUAGUGGGGCCAGUCGUCGCUCGCGGCGGCCGGUCCCGGCAAGCCUCGACGAGUAGGAUGGCGCGGCGGUGUGCGUCGAAGGGCAGGUCGCGAGACCGCCUGGAGCCGCCGUCGGUGCAGAUCUUGGUGGUAGUAGCAAAUACUCGAGAGGGGCCCUCGGGGGCUGCC
rnacentral:ncRNA from 1 species